rnacentral:lncRNA from 1 species
GAAAGCCUAGAUCUGAAUUCUAGCGCAGCAAUAGGUUCACAAUAUAUUUGGAAAAAGGAUAAUGUAAUUUUUGCUGCAAGGACUUUGCAUAACAGUAAUAAUAAUACUUUUCAUCACACUUAGGUUUCAAAGCCUAUUCAUGUGAAUUAUGUGCUGUGCUUCUCGUUAACCUCCUGCAAAUCUAAUAUAAUGGAGACACAGAACAUAAUAGUAGA